rnacentral:lncRNA from 1 species
GUAAUUUAUUCACCCUAUGUUUAGAAAGGUUCUAAAUUCUUCCUUAGAUUGAUUUGAGAUCUUCUCCUUGGUAGCGUCUAGCUACAUCACAGGUAAAACUGAGAGUCUUAAGAACUUUCCUGUCUGAUGGUUGUUAGAGCUCAGCAAGCACAGCAUUACCUGGAGUCAGUAGACCCCAGCUGAAGGAGAAAUGUGGGUUACCCCUCACAGCAGGACCAGGAGCGGCCAUCACUCGGCUUCCAUAAUAAUGACAGUGACCCCUGAGGGAGGCUUCCUGAGUGUUGGGAGCUGUCCUAGAUCUCUGAGAAGUACGGGCUCCCUGAAGAAAACAUCUACAAAGUCUACAAGAAGUGUAAGCGGGGAAUCUUGGUCAACAUGGACAACAACAUCAUCCAGCAUUACAGCAACCACGUGGCCUUCCUGCUGGACAUGGGGGAGCUGGACGGCAAGAUUCAGAUCAUCCUGAAGGAGCUGUGAGGCCUGCGCUCCAUACCUCAGAGCCUGGGGGAAGCUUAGGCCUGGAGCCUGCGGGGAAGCAGCCUCGCCACACGCAGCCUGUCCAUGUGCCUCAGCGCUGUUACUUGAAUGCUUCCUCCAGGGGACUCACAGAUGUCAGGGCCAGGAAGCAACCUUGGAGGUCCCCUGGUCUGAGCCCCAUCUGUGCUUGAAUCCAGUCCUGGAGCUUCUGGCCAGCACCGCCCAUCUAAGGCAGUGCCUUUUGCCAUGGAACCCACUGUCUGACUCCUCCUCACGUGCCCUGUAGGCUGCCUGGGAGGUGAAGCCCGCCAGCUCAACUCUGCUCCCUCCUCCAUUCUGGAUUCCUCCACCCCUCAGACCAAGGAUUUCUCACCCUUUGGUCAGCGAAGGACUUUUGAAAGACACUGUAGUGGAAACAAUAUUGUGUUCAUUGACUUCUUCAGUGCAAGAUGUAAAUAACAGAGCUGACUGGAACAAAGUGACCUCCCUAGAAAACUAUCACCUUGCCACUCACUGUUGUACACAUUUCUUAUUUACAAUUUUAUGUUAUAUAUUAUAUAAGUAUAUAUUGUAUAUAUAUAUGCAACAUUUUGUAUUUUUCAUGGAUACAUUUUUAUCAUUUCAAAAAGUGUGUAUUUCACAUCUCUUGGACUAUUUUUUUUAGCUGUUAAUCAGUUAUACAUUUUGUAUACUCAUAGUAUUUAGUAAUAAAAUCUUACCUUUGUAUCAGUUACACGCUGCAUCGCUCCUUUUGAGUUUCUGGCGGGAGAGAGGAGGGCGGGGUGAGGGAGACCUCUCCUUUCUCUCCACCCCAUUGUGAAGGAUGGGGGUACCUGUGAGCUCUCGAAAGCCGAGGCGCCCACUCUGUUUUGUUUUGUUUUGUUUUUUGGUACCAGGGAUCGAACAGAAACUUGCCUCUCCUUUCUCUCCACCCCAUUGUGAAGGAUGGGGGUACCUGUGAGCUCUCGAAAGCCGAGGCGCCCACUCUGUUUUGUUUUGUUUUGUUUUUUGGUACCAGGGAUCGAACUCAGGUCCUUGCGCCUGUGAGGCAGGUAGCGGAACCACUGAGCUAAAUCCCCGGCCCCAGGCACCCACUCUGGCAGGCAGCAGAAUCUGAAUGUGGUCCCAACAAGGCCAACUUAACUACCUUAGGAUCAUUGACUCUGACAUACAGGUCUAG